rnacentral:rRNA from 1 species
GACGAACGCUGGCGGCGUGCUUAACACAUGCCAGUCGGACGGAAAGGCCCUGCUUUUGUGGGGUGCUCGAGUGGCGAACGGGUGAGUAACACGUGAGUAACCUGCCCUUGACUUUGGGAUAACUUCAGGAAACUGGGGCUCAUACCGGAUAGGAGCUCCUGCUGCAUGGUGGGGGUUGGAAAGUUUCGGCGGUUGGGGAUGGACUCGCGGCUUAUCAGCUUGUUGGUGGGGUAGUGGCUUACCAAGGCUUUGACGGGUAGCCGGCCUGAGAGGGUGACCGGCCACAAUGGGACUGAGAGACGGCGCAGACGCCUACGGGAGGCAGCAGGGGGGAAUAUUGCACAAUGGGCGGAAGCCUGAUGCAGCAACGCCGCGUGCGGGAUGACGGCCUUCGGGUUGUAAACCGCUUUCGCCGGUGACGAAGCGUGAGUGACGGUAAUGGGUAAAGAAGCACCGGCUAACUACGUG